UAUAACAGCGACCGUACUAAACUAGACACAGGUAGGUGAGGCGCGUAGCCUCAGGCGACUCGGGAAAACGCUGGUUAGGAACUCUGCAAAUUGGCCCCGUAACUUCGGGGAUAAGGGGUGCCAUCGCAAGAUGGUCUCAGCAAAGCGGCACUAGCGACUGUUUACUAAAAACACAGGUCUCUGCGAACUCGUAAGAGGAUGUAUAGAGACUGACGCCUGCCCGGUACCGGUAAGUUAAUAAAGAGGGGUUAGCCUUCGGGCGAAGCCAGCAAUUGAAGCUCCGGUAAACGGCGGCCGUAACUAUAACGGUCCUAAGGUAGCGAAAUUCCUUGUCGGGUAAGUUCCGACCUGCACGAAUGGCGUAACGAUGGCCACACUGUCUCCUCCUGAGACUCAGCGAAGUUGAAAUGUUUGUGAUGAUGCAAUCUCCCCGCGGAAAGACGGAAAGACCCCAU
rnacentral:rRNA from 1 species